UGGGGAAUUGUUCGCAAUGGGCGCAAGCCUGACGACGCAACGCCGCGUGGAGGAUGAAGGUCUUCGGAUUGUAAACUCCUGUUGCCCGGGACGAAAUGCUUCAACCUAAUACGUUGAAGGUUGACGGUACCGGGUGAGGAAGCCCCGGCUAACUCCGUGCCAGCAGCCGCGGUAAUACAGAGGGGGCAAGCGUUGUUCGGAAUUACUGGGCGUAAAGGGCGCGUAGGCGGCCACCUAAGUCAGACGUGAAAUCCCUCGGCUCAACCGGGGAACUGCGUCUGAUACUGGGUGGCUUGAAUUCGGGAGAGGGAUGCGGAAUUCCAGGUGUAGCGGUGAAAUGCGUAGAUAUCUGGAGGAACACCGGUGGCGAAGGCGGCAUCCUGGACCGAGAUUGACGCUGAGGCGCGAAAGCCAGGGGAGCAAA
rnacentral:rRNA from 1 species